GGCCUGGUGGUCUAGUAGUAUGAUUCCUUGUUAGGGCAGUCGUGUGUAGAUGUACAAUAUCGAGGAGGUCCCGGGUUCAAUUCCCGGCCAGGCCC